ensembl:lncRNA novel transcript
GGCCCAAAGCCUUCCGGGAGUCGUAGUCCUUCCGCCCGCUCCUCGUUUCUUUGGAGGUUGGCCCUUCCAGCUCCAGUUCUGCCCAGGUCACAACGCCGACGACAUGGUGGACACCGUGCUCAUGAACUUCCUGCGGGGCGGCUGGCCCGGGGCGGGGGCCUGGGCUCUCCGGGCUAGGGGGGUGCCCUUCCGCGCUGCCGCCCGCUGCAGUUCGCCUCGCAGGAGGUGGUGCCGUACGGGCACUUCCGCCGCCUCGACUACUUCUCAGAAGAGAGGAGCGCCCGGGACCUGCUCAAGCGCCUGGAGGCGCCGCGGCCGUCGGCGGUGCUGGACCUGGUGCACUCGGCCGAACGCCUGGCGCUGGCCUCGGCCGCGCGGCCCCCGCGCCCCGGCGCCUGCCCCCGCUGUGGGGCGCUGGCCAGCCGCGCGCUCUGCCAGGCCUGCUCCCUCCUGGACGGCCUGAACCGCGGUCGGCCCCGCCUGGCCAUCGGCAAGGGCCGCCGGGGGCUGGACGAGGAGGCGACGCCGGGGACGCCCGGGGAUCCGGCCCGGGCCCCCACUUCCGAGACCGUCCCCACCUUCUAGCGACUCCGGGCCUCCCGCCGGGAUCCGACGCGCCCGGGUGAGGUCUGCCUGUAAAUGACACUGUGAAUAAACCCGUUAC